rnacentral:sRNA from 1 species
GCCAGGUGCAGUGGCUAAUGUCUGUAAUCCCAGCUGCUUGGGAGGCUGAGGCAGGAGGAUUGCAAGUUUAAAGCCAGCUUCAGCAAAAAACGAGGCUCUAAGUAAUUCAAUGAGACCCUGUCUCUA